UCUAUUUUUCUCUUAAUCAAUUGAUUAUCAAAACCGUCUUCAAUACAAUGUAGACAUUCAUUCAUUAAAUGUUACCAUGGUAUCAGACUCAGAAAUCAUGAAUUUCUGAGGGUAUCGAUCCAAUUUUUCCACUAAUUCAACCUGAAUUUUCAUUCCCUGCUGCUAUUCAUCAACAAACUCUGAUUGUUCUUCAUCAAAAUCAACAGAUUGUUCUUCAUCUUAAAUAGAAAUAAAUCUCCGAUCUAGAUUUCUAACCACAACAACUUCCAAUUUAACCAUUCAAACAAAGACUUCCAUCAUAAUUAGCUUAUUUUUUGCGGCUAAUUUCUUCAUCAAGAAUUGUUGUUCUUGAUUCAUGAUGCCGAGAUAGUCUGAGCGUGUUGUAGCUCGUUACACCAAGGUCUAGUUAGGGAAAAAAUUUAAAGGUGUUCCACCGAUUGGAUUCAACAGAAGAUUGGGAAAUUGUUUGUCUCAUAUUUUACUUCAAGGCAGUCCUCACCUAUGUGUUGAAAAUCUUGCGUUUCAUAUGAUGUUUCUAAGUUUGAAUUUCCUAUUGGAGUUGGAGUGUACGAAUUAACAGGUCAAGCUCUUCCUGUUUCUCUCAUGUCAUUGGUGUAUGCAAGCUGGUGGUGUUCAUAGUAUCCUUCUCUUAAGAAUGGUAUUUGCAAGAUGUGGUGCUGGCAUGAAUGUUUAUGUGAGAUUAAAUCUUACAGGCUAAUGUUGUUAAAUAUUUGAAGUGCAACUGUUUUGGAUGAGUUUUCAA